CGUGAAAUUCCGUCGGAAUCUGGGAGGACCAUCUCCUAAGGCUAAAUACUCUCUAGUGACCGAUAGUGAACCAGUACCGUGAGGGAAAGGUGAAAAGUACCCCGGAAGGGGAGUGAAAGAGAACUUGAAACCGUGUGCUUACAAGUAGUCAGAGCCCGUUAAUGGGUGAUGGCGUGCCUUUUGUAGAAUGAACCGGCGAGUUACGAUCUGAUGCAAGGUUAAGCAGAAAAUGUGGAGCCGUAGCGAAAGCGAGUCUGAAUAGGGCGAAUGAGUAUUUGGUCGUAGACCCGAAACCAGGUGAUCUACCCUUGGUCAGGUUGAAGUUCAGGUAACACUGAAUGGAGGACCGAACCGACUUACGUUGAAAAGUGAGCGGAUGAACUGAGGGUAGCGGAGAAAUUCCAAUCGAACUUGGAGAUAGCUGGUUCUCUCCGAAAUAGCUUUAGGGCUAGCCUCAAGUGAUGAUUAUU
rnacentral:rRNA from 1 species